GCCUGGGUGGCUCAGCUGGUUAAGCGUCUGACUUCUGAUUUCAGCUCAGGUCAUGAUCUCGCAGUUUGUGGGUUCGAGCCCCACACUGGGCU
rnacentral:tRNA from 1 species